AUUGAACGCUGGCGGCAUGCCUUACACAUGCAAGUCGAACGGCAGCGCGGGGCAACCUGGCGGCGAGUGGCGAACGGGUGAGUAAUAUAUCGGAACAUACCCUAGAGUGGGGAUAACGUAGCGAAAGUUACGCUAAUACCGCAUACGCACUAAGGUGGAAAGUGGGGGAUUCGCAAGAACCUCAUGCUCAUGGAGUGGCCGAUAUCUGAUUAGCUAGUUGGUGAGGUAAAGGCUCACCAAGGCGACGAUCAGUAGCUGGUUUGAGAGAACGACCAGCCACACUGGAACUGAGACACGGUCCAGACUCCUACGGGAGGCAGCAGUGGGGAAUUUUGGACAAUGGGGGCAACCCUGAUCCAGCAAUGCCGCGUGAGUGAAGAAGGCC
rnacentral:rRNA from 1 species